AUGAAGAAGUUGAGUGGAAGGCUGGUGCUGACGGCGCAGCCGCAGCUGGAGAAGAAGGCGCCCGCGCGGGCGAGGCCGCCGCUGACGGGGAAGGUCGUGGCCGCGCUCUGCGUGGCCAGCUUCGCCGUCGGCCUGCUGCUCAGCGGCUGGAUGCCGCUCCUGUCGGCGCCGAUCAGCUCCCGGGUGAACAAGACUUCUGCUCCCGGCUGCGACGACAACCGCGUAAGCAAGGGGUUAGCCGGGGAGAGGCAUGACCCCAAGGGCAUCAUAAGCGAGGUGUCCAGGACGCACCACGCUAUCCAGUCGCUGGACAAGGCGGUGUCUUCUCUCGAGAUGGAGCUAGCCGUGGAGCGAGCUCGGAGCGGCGACGCCGGCGCCGGCGCGGCGGGCUCGUCCAAGGACCUUCAGAAGGCCUUCGUCGUGAUCGGCAUCAACACGGCCUUCAGCAGCAAGAAGCGCCGCGACUCCCUCCGCGAGACCUGGGUGCCCUCAGGGGAGAAGCUGAGGAGGCUGGAGAAGGAGAAGGGGAUCGUGGUCCGGUUCGUCAUCGGCCGGAGCGGGACGGCGGAGGGCGGCGGGGCGGCGGACCGCGCCCUGGACGCGGAGGAGGCGGAGAACAAGGACUUCCUGCGGCUGGACCACGUGGAGGGCUACCACGAGCUGUCCUCCAAGACCAGGAUCUACUUCGCCACCGCCGUCGCCACCUGGGACGCCGACUUCUACGUCAAGGUCGACGACGACGUCCACCUCAACCUCGGGAUGCUGGCAACUAGGCUGGCCAAGUACAGGGCGCGGCCCAGGGUGUACGUCGGCUGCAUGAAGUCCGGGCCUGUCCUGUCACAAAGAGGAGUGAAGUACCACGAGCCGGAGUACUGGAAGUUCGGGGACGUCGGGAACAAAUACUUCCGGCACGCCACCGGCCAGAUCUACGCCGUCUCCAAGGACCUCGCCGCCUACAUCUCCGUCAACCAGCCGAUCCUGCACAGGUUCGCGAACGAGGACGUCUCCGUGGGCGCGUGGCUGAUCGGGCUGGAGGUGGAGCACGUCGAUGACCGGAGCAUGUGCUGCGCCACGCCUCCAGACUGCGAGUGGAAGAAGAGGGCCGGGAACGUGUGCGUGGCGUCCUUCGACUGGUCCUGCAGCGGGGUCUGCAGGUCCGUGGACAGGAUGAAGCUCAUCCACGACGCCUGCGGCGAAGACCAGGCGGCGGUCUGGGGCGUCGCCACCUGA
rnacentral:rRNA from 1 species